GAAGAAAAAAAAAAGCAGAUAAAUCAAGGGCGAUUAUUCACUCAUACCAAAUAAUAAAUCUCAUUAUUCUCAACGUAUGGAAUAAUUCCGCAUUGGAUAAUAAUUCAUGAGUUCUAUGGGAAUGGAUAAUUCUACCGGAACGUGAAGUAAUGAAAAAGGGUAGUGAUAUUUCGAAU